CAAAAACCUUAAACUCAAACACUAAAAACUAGACCCCGAACGAUAAACUAUAAACCCUAAACUUAACAAUAAACCAUAAAUAUAAACCAUAAACCCUAAAUCCUAAAAACUAAACCUUAAACACUAAACCCUAAUCACAAAUAAUAAACUAUACACAUAACUUUAAAACCAUAAUCCCUAAAACCUUAAAUCCUAAAACCUUAAACCCUAAACCCUAAACCCUAAAACCUAA
rnacentral:lncRNA from 1 species